rnacentral:piRNA from 7 species
UCAGACAUUUGGUGUAUGUGCUUGGC